rnacentral:tRNA from 1 species
AUUUAAGUAGUUUAAUUAGAAUAGUAAUUUGUGGAGUUACAGGUGUUAUGAAUUAACCUUAGAUC